UACGUAGGGGGCUAGCGUUGUCCGGAUUAUUGGGCGUAAAGAGCGUGUAGGCGGCCAGGUAGGUCUGCUGUGAAAACUCGAGGCUCAACCUCGAGACGUCGGCGGAAACCAUCUGGCUAGAGUCCGGAAGAGGAGAGUGGAAUUCCUGGUGUAGCGGUGAAAUGCGCAGAUAUCAGGAGGAACACCAAUGGCGAAGGCAGCUCGCUGGGACGGUACUGACACUGAGACGCGAAAGCGUGGGGAGCGAACAGG
rnacentral:rRNA from 1 species